rnacentral:rRNA from 1 species
AUGGCGUCUGCCGGAAAGGAGGAGCAGGUCAGUGCUACCCCGACCGUGGACGCUGGCCAAGCGCGAGCGCUCCUGAGCUCCGGCGGCGGAGGUCACGCGUAUCUGGACGUCAGGCUGCCGGUGGACUUCGACAAGGACCAUGCCGCCGGCGCCGUCAACGUCCCCUACUACCUCGCUGUCACUCCCCAGGGCAAGGAGAAGAACCCAAAAUUCUUGGAGGAAGUAGGUGCGCGCUAUGGGAAGGAACAACACUUGGUUGUGGCUUGCCGCACUGGCGUGAGAUCCAAGCUUGCGACUGCGGACCUCGUAAACGCGGGGUAUAAGAACGCGAGGAGCCUGCAAGGUGGCUACGUUGCCUUCCUCCAGAGCGCAGCCGCGGAUCAGCAGCCAGCACCUCAGUAG